GCCAGCUUGAAACUCAAAAGACUUGACAGUAUCUCACAUACACCUAGAGGAGCCUGUCCUAUAAUCGAUAACCCACGAUAAACCUUACCUGCUCUUGAACUGAUCAGCCUAUAUACCUCCGUCGCCAGUCCGCCUGCCAACAGAUGCCAAAGCGCAUACAACAGCCCUAUCACUCACACGACAGGUCAAGGUGUAGCUAAUGAGCCUAGGGAGAGAUGGGCUACAUUUUCUCUGUUAGAAAAUACCCAAAAUGCAAUGAAAAUGGCUCGUAAGGCGGAUUUAGCAGUAAGCAGGGCUAGACAUGCCCUACUGAAGCCUUCCAUGAGAUGUGUACACACCGCCCGUCACCCUCCUCACAAACACAUAAACGUAACUAACCCUCCCCAUAAAACAAAGAUGAGGUAAGUCGUAACACGGUAAGCGUACCGGAAGGUGCGCUUGGCUAGUCUCAAGGUGGCUUAAAAUUAAAGCAUU
rnacentral:rRNA from 1 species